CCUGCCCCAGCUCGUGUUGCAGGCGUGGCUGCAGUGCCACGGCUGUGUCUUUUGGUGGCAGACAGGAACAGGUGAGGUCUUCCCCUGGUGCUCUGAGCCCUGUGAGCUCUCAGGAUUGCUCAACAACCUGACACU
rnacentral:snoRNA from 1 species